UGUUAUGGGGGAAUUGAGCCGCCAUGCCCCACGUGAUCGGCACGCGUAUCCAGGAAAGCUACAGCUGCCCUAUGAUCCAGCACUCCGACCCCGAGUCGGACCUCCUCGGCUCCGCAGCCCGACCCCGGGUCGGCUGCCCUAUGAUCCAGCACUCCGACCCCGAGUCGGACCUCCUCGGCUUCGCAGCCCGACCCCGGGUCGGCUGCCCUAUGAUCCAGCAUCCCGACCCUGAGUCGGAGAUCUUUUGAUAACGACAGGCUAUUCUCCAGAGGCACGCCGCGGCCUCCUGCUCCACUACUCCCUGCAACGGCUGUACCCGAUGCUGCCCACGAUCUCCUGUAUCAACCGUACAAAGCGGAGCUCCACUACGCCCUGCCAUGACCGUACCCAGCGCUGCUCCACGACGCCCCGUAACGGCCAUGUCAGUGGCCAUUCUAUCGUGCCCCACGACGACAAACCCCCCUGAGAGACCUCCCAGCCAGGUAUAUAUGCGGCUGGGGGGAGAAGGGGGGGUAAGCAAUACCUCCCAGAGCACUCUCUCCCACUUGUGAUUAUCAUCUCUCCUCCUCCAAUCUCCUCUGACUUGACCGUCGGAGGGCCAUCACCACCCUGGUGGUGGUGCAAGGCUUGUUUGCAGGUUCCUUGGCGGAAGGUGGAGCGCAACCAGCACCAACCAAGACAACUCAGGCGGAACCCCGUUCACACCGUCGUGUCAAUCGUUCUCGGUUUGGACCACCAGCAACAAUUAU
rnacentral:lncRNA from 1 species